rnacentral:rRNA from 1 species
CCUCUUUUUUUUUUUCUUUCUUUUGCUCUCUGAACGUCAGGGGCAGGCCUACCCAUGGCAAGUCGAGCGGAUGAGUGGAGCUUGCUCCAUGAUUCAGCGGCGGACGGGUGAGUAAUGCCUAGGAAUCUGCCUGGUAGUGGGGGACAACGUUUCGAAAGGAACGCUAAUACCGCAUACGUCCUACGGGAGAAAGUGGGGGAUCUUCGGACCUCACGCUAUCAGAUGAGCCUAGGUCGGAUUAGCUAGUUGGUGAGGUAAAGGCUCACCAAGGCGACGAUCCGUAACUGGUCUGAGAGGAUGAUCAGUCACACUGGAACUGAGACACGGUCCAGACUCCUACGGGAGGCAGCAGUGGGGAAUAUUGGACAAUGGGCGAAAGCCUGAUCCAGCCAUGCCGCGUGUGUGAAGAAGGUCUUCGGAUUGUAAAGCACUUUAAGUUGGGAGGAAGGGCAGUAAGUUAAUACCUUGCUGUUUUGACGUUACCAACAGAAUAAGCACCGGCUAACUUCGUGCCAGCAGCCGCGGUAAUACGAAGGGUGCAAGCGUUAAUCGGAAUUACUGGGCGUAAAGCGCGCGUAGGUGGUUCGUUAAGUUGGAUGUGAAAGCCCCGGGCUCAACCUGGGAACUGCAUCCAAAACUGGCGAGCUAGAGUAUGGCAGAGGGUGGUGGAAUUUCCUGUGUAGCGGUGAAAUGCGUAGAUAUAGGAAGGAACACCAGUGGCGAAGGCGACCACCUGGGCUAAUACUGACACUGAGGUGCGAAAGCGUGGGGAGCAAACAGGAUUAGAUACCCUGGUAGUCCACGCCGUAAACGAUGUCGACUAGCCGUUGGGAUCCUUGAGAUCUUAGUGGCGCAGCUAACGCAUUAAGUCGACCGCCUGGGGAGUACGGCCGCAAGGUUAAAACUCAAAUGAAUUGACGGGGGCCCGCACAAGCGGUGGAGCAUGUGGUUUAAUUCGAAGCAACGCGAAGAACCUUACCAGGCCUUGACAUGCAGAGAACUUUCCAGAGAUGGAUUGGUGCCUUCGGGAACUCUGACACAGGUGCUGCAUGGCUGUCGUCAGCUCGUGUCCUGAAAUGUUGGGUUAAGUCCCGUAACGAGCGCAACCCUUGUCCUUAUUUACCAGCCCGUUAAGGUGGGCACUCUAAGGAAACUGCCGGUAAAAACCGGAAGAAAGGGGGGGAUAACUUCAAUUUAUCAGGGCCCUUAAGGGCUGGGGCAACCCCGUUCCAAAUGGUUGGGAAAAAAGGGUUUCCAACCCCCCCGGGGGGGAACUAUCCCCCCAAAAACCAAAUCAAACCCGAAAACCCCUCCCCCCACCCCCCCCCGGGUAAAAACAAAAACCCUUUAAAAUCGAAAAAAAAAAAAUCGAGGUGAAAAAUUUCCGCGGCGCCCCCCCCCCUACCCCACAUAUAAAAAAAGCGGGAUGCUCCAGAAAGAUCUAGUCUAACCUUCGGGGGGACGGUUACCACGGAGUGAUUCAUGACUGGGGUG